GGGCGGUACGUUGCUCGGCCUAUUGCGGCGUAAGGGCUCGCAGGCGGUUUCUUAAGUCUGAUGUGAAAGCCCCCGGCUCAACCGGGGAGGGUCAUUGGAAACUGGGAAACUUGAGUGCAGAAGAGGAGAGUGGAAUUCCACGUGUAGCGGUGAAAUGCGUAGAGAUGUGGAGGAACACCAGUGGCGAAGGCGACUCUCUGGUCUGUAACUGACGCUGAGGAGCGAAAGCGUGGGGAGCGAACAGGAUUAGAUACCCUGGUAGUCCACGCCGUAAACGAUGAGUGCUAAGUGUUAGGGGGUUUCCGCCCCUUAGUGCUGCAGCUAACGCAUUAAGCACUCCGCCUGGGGAGUACGGUCGCAAGACUGAAACUCAAAGGAAUUGACGGGGGCCCGCACAAGCGGUGGAGCAUGUGGUUUAAUUCGAAGCAACGCGAAGAACCUUACCAGGUCUUGACAUCCUCUGACAACCCUAGAGAUAGGGCUUUCCCUUCGGGGACAGAGUGACAGGUGGUGCAUGGUUGUCGUCAGCUCGUGUCGUGAGAUGUUGGGUUAAGUCCCGCAACGAGCGCAACCCUUGAUCUUAGUUGCCAGCAUUCAGUUGGGCACUCUAAGGUGACUGCCGGUGACAAACCGGAGGAAGGUGGGGAUGACGUCAAAUCAUCAUGCCCCUUAUGACCUGGGCUACACACGUGCUACAAUGGACAGAACAAAGGGCUGCGAGACCGCAAGGUUUAGCCAAUCCCACAAAUCUGUUCUCAGUUCGGAUCGCAGUCUGCAACUCGACUGCGUGAAGCUGGAAUCGCUAGUAAUCGCGGAUCAGCAUGCGCGGGGGGGAAAACCUUUCCCGGGGCCUUGUACACACCGCCCGUCACACCACGAGAGUUUGCAACACCCGAAGUCGGUGAGGUAACCUUUAUGGAGCCAGCCGCCGAAGGUGGGGCAGAUGAUUGGGGUGAUCAGAAAAAAACCCCGCAAACACACAAAAAAAAAAGCCGCGGA
rnacentral:rRNA from 1 species